CGAGGAAUAUUGCGCAAUGGAGGAAACUCUGACGCAGUAACGCCGCGUGCGGGAUGAAGACCUUCGGGUUGUAAACCGCUUUUCGGGAGGACGAGUGAGGACGGUACUCCCGGAAUCAGUCUCGGCUAACUACGUGCCAGCAGCCGCGGUAAGACGUAGGAGGCGAGCGUUAUCCGGAUUCACUGGGCGUAAAGCGCAUGUAGGCGGCGGUGCAAGUCGUGUGUUAAAGCCCCUGGCUCAACUGGGGGAGGUCAUGCGAUACUGUGCGGCUCGAGGGCAGUAGAGGCACAUGGAACUCCCGGUGUAGCGGUGGAAUGCGUAGAGAUCGGGAAGAACACCCGUGGCGAAGGCGGUGUGCUGGGCUGCACCUGACGCUGAGAUGCGAAAGUGUGGGGAGCAAACGGGAUUAGAUACCCCGGUAGUCCACAUUGUAAACGAUGAACCCUAGGUGUGGGGGGUUCCCCCUCCGUGCCGUAGCUAACGCGUUAAGGGUUCCGCCUGGGGACUAUGAGCGCAAGCUUAA
rnacentral:rRNA from 1 species